rnacentral:rRNA from 1 species
GACGAACGUUGGCGGCGUGCUUAACACAUGCAAGUCGAACGGAAAGGCCCUGCUUUUGUGGGGUGCUCGAGUGGCGAACGGGUGAGUAACACGUGAGUAACCUGCCCUUGACUUUGGGAUAACUUCAGGAAACUGGGGCUAAUACCGGAUAGGAGCUCCUGCUGCAUGGUGGGGGUUGGAAAGUUUCGGCGGUUGGGGAUGGACUCGCGGCUUAUCAGCUUGUUGGUGGGGUAGUGGCUUACCAAGGCUUUGACGGGUAGCCGGCCUGAGAGGGUGACCGGCCACAUUGGGACUGAGAUACGGCCCAGACUCCUACGGGAGGCAGCAGUGGGGAAUAUUGCACAAUGGGCGGAAGCCUGAUGCAGCAACGCCGCGUGCGGGAUGACGGCCUUCGGGUUGUAAACCGCUUUCGCCUGUGACGAAGCGUGAGUGACGGUAAUGGGUAAAGAAGCACCGGCUAACUACGUGCCAGCAGCCGCGGUGAUACGUAGGGUGCGAGCGUUGUCCGGAUUUAUUGGGCGUAAAGGGCUCGUAGGUGGUUGAUCGCGUCGGAAGUGUAAUCUUGGGGCUUAACCCUGAGCGUGCUUUCGAUACGGGUUGACUUGAGGAAGGUAGGGGAGAAUGGAAUUCCGGGUGGAGCGGUGGAAUGCGCAGAUAUCAGGAGGAACACCAGUGGCGAAGGCGGUUCUCUGGGCCUUUCCUGACGCUGAGGAGCGAAAGCGUGGGGAGCGAACAGGCUUAGAUACCCUGGGUAGUCCACGCUGUAAACGGUGGGUACUAGGUGUGGGGUCCAUUCCACGGGUUCCGUGCCGUAGCUAACGCUUUGAGUACCCCGCCUGGGGAGUACGGCCGCAAGGCUAAAACUCAAAGGAAUUGACGGGGCCCCGCACAAGCGGCGGAGCAUGCGGAUUAAUUCGAUGCAACGCGUAGAACCUUACCUGGGUUUGACAUGGAUCGGGAGUGCUCAGAGAUGGGUGUGCCUCUUUUGGGGUCGGUUCACAGGUGGUGCAUGGCUGUCGUCAGCUCGUGUCGUGAGAUGUUGGGUUAAGUCCCGCAACGAGCGCAACCCUUGUUCACUGUUGCCAGCACGUUAUGGUGGGGACUCAGUGGAGACCGCCGGGGUCAACUCGGAGGAAGGUGGGGAUGACGUCAAGUCAUCAUGCCCCUUAUGUCCAGGGCUUCACGCAUGCUACAAUGGCUGGUACAGAGAGUGGCGAGCCUGUGAGGGUGAGCGAAUCUCGGAAAGCCGGUCUCAGUUCGGAUUGGGGUCUGCAACUCGACCUCAUGAAGUCGGAGUCGCUAGUAAUCGCAGAUCAGCAACGCUGCGGUGAAUACGUUCCCGGG